rnacentral:tRNA from 1 species
GGGUCAGUAGCUCAAUGGUUAGAGCAGAGGACUCAUAAUCCUUUGGCUGGGGGUUCAAAUCCCUCCUGACCCA